rnacentral:rRNA from 2 species
GACAGAGGGUGCAAACGUUGUUCGGAAUUACUGGGCGUAAAGCGUGUGUAGGCGGCUUCGUAAGUCGGAUGUGAAAGCCCUGGGCUCAACCCAGGAAGUGCACUCGAUACUGCGGAGCUUGAGUCUCGGAGAGGUUGGUGGAAUUCUCGGUGUAGAGGUGAAAUUCGUAGAUAUCGAGAGGAACACCGGUGGCGAAGGCGGCCAACUGGACGAAGACUGACGCUGAGACACGAAAGCGUGGGGAGCAAACAGG